UUAUUUGCUACAUCAGCACAUGACGGUCUGUUUUUUGUUCGAGCGAAGAAAAAUUAAUUCUCGCAGUUGUAUGCAGCAUUUAAAACUUGGAAUUAUGUCUAUUUGCUCAGUAGAAAAGUACAGAUGUUCAAGAAUUAUGCUGGAUUAUGGAAACCGCUUAUUUACUUCUGCUGUUAUACGUUCCCCUACCUGUGGCUAUCCUGGAACUCCGAGGAACGAGACUCGGAACGGGAGUGAUCAACAUUUUUGGAAAUUAU